CAGUCCUUACGGGCGGGAUAAAUGUUGGAGACUACAAUGCAAACUUCAUACCCUUACAUGCAGGGCGGGAACCUCCAAACGACGGGAUUCCGUCGUAUUCUGAGAAUAAUAAGGAUGGUACGACUAAGCUACGAGAUGAUACUCAAGAUGACAAAACUUCCGAGCAGCAUGCAACAGUAGCUGUAUUUAAUGAAGAAAAAAAAAUGUUGGCGAAACAAGGGAGCAGUUCAACGCACUGAGGCGUGAAUCUUAUCGGAAGAAAAAAGAGGAGGAUAUGGUCAGGUUACAAGAGUAUAAUCAGCCAUCCCUUUCAAAGACUGACCAUAGGGAUCUUAUCAACGCGUGGAGGCGGGCAUCUUAUCGCACUAAGAAGUCAGAUGGUUUUAUAAACCAUCUAGACGAUGGACCGAUUGUUCACCGUCGUACUCUAUGUGAUAUCACAAAUGUUCAACAACCUUCAU